AGCGAACGCUAGCGGCGGGCCUAACACAUGCAAGUCGAGCGGAGGGAGCAAUCCUUCAGCGGCGGACGGGUGAGUAACGCGUAGGUAAUGUACCUUCUGGUGGGGAAUAACCGUGGGAAACCAUGGCUAAUACCGCAUAUCGUCCUUACGGAUGAAAGCCUUCGGGCGCCAGAAGAGCAGCCUGCGUCCCAUUAUUUAGUCCUAGUUGGUGAGGUAACGGCUCACCAAGGGUACGAUGGGUAGCUGGUCUGAGAGGAUGAUCAGCCACACUGGAACUGAGACACGGUCCAGACUCCUACGGGAGGCAGCAGUGGGAAUAUUGCGCAAUGGGCGAAAGCCUGA
rnacentral:rRNA from 1 species